UCAAACCUAAGAGUUUGAUCCUGGCUCAGAAUGAACGCUGGCGGCAUGCCUAACACAUGCAAGUCGAACGAGAUUUUCGGAUCUAGUGGCGCACGGGUGAGUAACGCGUGGGAACCUACCUUUUAGUACGGGACAACGUUUGGAAACGAACGCUAAUACCGUAUACGCCCUCCGGGGGAAAGGUCAGCCGCUGAAAGAGGGGCCCGCGUCUGAUUAGCUUGUUGGUAAGGUAACGGCUUACCAAGGCAACGAUCAGUAGCUGGUAUGAGAGGAUGAUCAGCCACACUGGGACUGAGACACGGCCCAGACUCCUACGGGAGGCAGCAGUGGGGAAUAUUGGACAAUGGGCGCAAGCCUGAUCCAGCAAUGCCGCGUGUGUGAAGAAGGCCUUCGGGUUGUAAAGCACUUUCAGUAGGGAAGAUAAUGACGGUACCUACAGAAGAAGCACCGGCUAACUCCGUGCCAGCAGCCGCGGUAAUACGGAGG
rnacentral:rRNA from 1 species